rnacentral:rRNA from 1 species
UGGGGGAUUUUGCACAAUGGGCGCAAGCCUGAUGCAGCGACGCCGCGUGAGGGAUGAAGGCCUUCGGGUUGUAAACCUCUUUCGCUGGGUUGAAAGGCCAUGCUUUGGGUGUGGUUGAUUUGAACUGGUAAAGAAGUACCGGCUAACUACGUGCCAGCAGCCGCGGUAAUACGUAGGGUACUAGUGUUGUCCGGAUUUAUUGGGCGUAAAGGGCUUGUAGGUGGUUUGUCGCGUCUGUCGUGAAAUCCUGUGGCUUAACCAGGGGCUUGCGGUGGGUACGGGCAGGCUUGAGUGCGGUAGGGGAGGCUGGAAUUGCUGGUGUAGCGGUGGAAUGCGCAGAUAUCAGGAGGAACACCGGUGGCGAAGGCGGGUCUCUGGGCCGUUACUGACACUGAGGAGCGAAAGCGUGGGGAGCGAACAGG